rnacentral:rRNA from 1 species
GACGAACGCUGGCGGCGUGCUUAACACAUGCAAGUCGAACGGUGACGGCAGAGCUUGCUCUGCCUGAUCAGUGGCGAACGCGUGAGUAACACGUGAGUAACCUGCCCCUCACUUCGGGAUAACCUCGGGAAAUCGUGGCUAAUACCGGAUAUGAGACCUUACUUCAUGGUCGGGUCUGGAAAGAUUAAUCGGCGGGGGAUGGACUCGCGGCCUGUCAGCUUGUGGGUGAGGUAACGGCUAACCAAGGCGACGGCGGGUAGCCGGCCUGAGAGGGCGACCGGCCACACUGGGACUGAGAUACGGCCCAGACUCCUACGGGAGGCAGCAGUGGGGAAUAUUGCACAAUGGGCGCAAGCCUGAUGCAGCGACGCCGCGUGAGGGAUGAAGGCCUUCGGGUUGUAAACCUCUUUCAGCAGGGAAGAAGCGAAAGUGACGGUACCUGCAGAAGAAGCGCCGGCUAACUACGUG